GAGGGAACCAGAGCAAUAAAAAAAACCUUACUCAGACCCCUUCAUGAUAUGGAGCAAUAAUACAUAACUAGGCACUGCGCUAUUUGCAACAGAAACUUUUCAGGGAGUUGGAAGGGUCGCCGAGGACCCCUGCAAUUCAGGAGCAGUUAUAUGUGGAAUAUCCCACAAUCCGAAGCAUUGCAGUCAGAAAGCCCCUCUCCUGGGAAGAUGGAUCCUUAAGUGCCUGCAGAAGCCGGGAGUACGCCGAAAGUUUUCCGCAGGUGUUUGAAAUGUGAUCCCCGAAGCUGCCUGUUGAAUGCCUAUUGGUGGAGCCAUCCUCAGAUUGGGCCAAUGACACGACAGGCUUUGCUUCUGCGGCUCAAAGGAGCGCCGAUUAGGUCUCUCCCGCUGCUGAGCGCUAAGAUUGAAGCAGGUCCUGCGGACGGUGAUUCGGAGCGCAGAAAAAGCAUAUAAUAGAAGAAAGAAUAAGAAAACAAGACCAGAUAUACAAUUAUACAAAAUAAUGGCUGAAAACCGUAAAGAGGAGGAAGAGAGGGCAAUAGCAGAAACUGGCCCGGAGCCUUCAGAGGGGGGGGAAGCUGCCCACAGUGCUGACCCUCCUGUUGUUGGGGCACAAGUCAAGGGGCAUUCAUGUCCGCAACAAGCCAUGACAGACUCUGCAGAGUCAGAAGACAUGGAAGAAUCAUGUGACAAUGAAGCAACGAUAAAAGAAGCAGAAAGGAUCUUGGGACUAUUGAAAGUCUUUUAUAGAGAAGGCGGUGAGAGUCCCAUAAACUUCUUUAAGUUUGUGACUGAUCCAAAUUCUUUUGCGCAAACCCUGGAUAACAUGUAUCAUGUUUUAUACUUGGUAAGACAUGGGCUUGCAAGAAUAAAGGCAGAUGAGGAUGAGAUUCCUGUUUUGGAACCUUUAGAUCCAGGACAAGGCAGUUAUGUUCCGCCACAAACCUCAGGCCUCAUUCCAUUGAGUAUUGCAUGCUGGGAGCAGAUAGUGGAACUUUUUGAAAUUUCACAGCCCAUGAUUCCACCUGCCCCAGAGGCAUAGGCAGGAUAUGAGCCCAUCUGAAUGCAUCCUUAAGAUUUGUAAGUUUAAAAAAAUGCUAUGUAGUAUAUUUCUUUCAUAAUAUUUCAUGAAUGUGAAAUAAAUGAUGUUAUGAAACCCUGCUUUUAAGUCUAUAAACUAAAUAGAAGUAAAUGUCA